rnacentral:rRNA from 1 species
UACAGAGGUCUCAAGCGUUGUUCGGAUUCAUUGGGCGUAAAGGGUGCGUAGGCGGUCGGGUAAGUCUGGUGUGAAAUCCCGCAGCUCAACUGCGGAAUGGCACUGGAUACUAUUCGGCUGGAGGGUUGGAGGGGGGACUGGAAUUCUCGGUGUAGCAGUGAAAUGCGUAGAUAUCGAGAGGAACACCAGUGGCGAAGGCGAGUCCCUGGACAACUCCUGACGCUGAGGCACGAAAGCUAGGGGAGCAAACAGG